CACGACCACUGCGCAGGGCGACCUCGUCUGCCUUGUGCUUCAUACCCUGUGCCCGUCCUUAUUCUCGUCCCCUUUGUCACCCUCCCCCUAAACCUCGCCCCGUCCCAUUCCUCAUCCCCACUUGGCUCCCGGCAGCCCGCCGGGGCCUUCUUGCCCUUCCUGCUGCUGGGAGCUCCAAGCAGGGCCAUGCCGUGGCUUCUGAGCAAGGAGCGACGGCAGUCGCCCUCCAGCAGCCCCAGUGGGCAGCCCUGGGCUGCCACCAGCUCCAGCAGCGCCUCCCAGCUCCGGGAGCAGGGGCUGGGCAGGCUGCACCGCGCGGCCGCCCGCGGUGACCUGGGCUGGCUGAGGCGCUGGCGCUGGUACGUCAAGGUAGUCGGCAUCGACAGGCCAGACCAGGAGAUGCGGACACCUCUGCAUCUGGCUUCAGCCAAUGGCCAUGCAGAUGUCGUCAGAUAUCUGCUAAGAAAGAACAGCCAGCCCAACCUCACUGACAACUUCAAGAGAACAGCCCUGAUGAAGGUGUGUGGAAUGCCUUCUGAGCUUGGAGGUGGGGCUCAGUGCUGGGGUGUUAAAGGGGAGGUGUCUGGCAGGAUUCCUUGCAGGGCAGGGCCAUAGAAACACACCUAUUGCAAUGGGCAGGGCACAGCCUCUGUUAGCUGAUCUUUGAAGAUGGUCUUCUAUGGCAGCACUCAGGAGCUGAGGGCGUUGUGAGAGAGGGGGAUGGAAAAGUUGGAAGCCUUUCCCUUUUGGUGUGUUGUUGCCAGGCAGUCCAGCAGGAGCAGGAAGAAUGUGUUGCUGUUCUGCUGGAACACGGUGCCGACCCCAAUCUGGCAGACGCUGACGGCAACACUGCCCUUCACCUGGCUGUGCUCUCUAAAAACACAGCUGUAGCAGGGCUGUUACUGGAGCAUCAUGCCAACAGUGAUGCUCAGAACCAGUGGGGAUUUACCCCCUUGAAACUUGCAGCCUUGCAACAGCAUGAGGAGAUUCUGGAGUGCCUUGUGAACAAAGCAGCUGACAGGCCUGCUCAAGGCCAGGGG